AUUAGAUUAAAAACCAAUGCCCUUCGGGGCUCUCUGGUGAUUCAUGAUAACUUCUCGAAUCGCAUGGCCUUGCGCCGGCGAUGGUUCAUUCAAAUUUCUUCCCUAUCAACCUUCGAUGUUUGGGUAUUGGCCAAACAUGGUUGCAACGGGUAACGGAGGGUUAGGGCUCGACCCCGGAGAAGGAGCCUGAGAAACGGCUACUACAUCCAAGGAAGGCAGCAGGCGCGCAAAUUACCCAAUCCCGACUCGGGGAGGUAGUGACAAUAAAUACUGAUACAGGGUUCUUUCGGAUCUUGUAAUUGGAAUGAGUACAAUUUAAAUCCCUUAACGAGGAACAAUUGGAGGGCAAGUCUGGUGCCAGCAGCCGCGGUAAUUCCAGCUCCAAUAGCGUAUAUUAAAGUUGUUGUGGUUAAAAAGCUCGUAGUUGAACCUUGGGCCUGGCUGGCCGGUCCGCCUCACCGCGUGUACUGGUCCGGCCGGGCCUUUUCCCUCUGUGGAACCCUAUGCCCUUCACUGGG
rnacentral:rRNA from 1 species